GGACCUGACUGCUAUCGGAUUGCUACUAAGCCAUGCGAGUCAUUGUAGCAAUACAAGGCAUACGGCUCAGUAACGCGUAGUCAACCUAACCUAUGGACGGGAAUAACCUCGGGAAACUGAGAAUAAUGCCCGAUAGAACAUUAUGACUGGAAUGGUUUAUGUUCCAAAUGAUUUAUCGCCGUAGGAUGGGACUGCGGCCUAUCAGUUUGUUGGUGAGGUAAUGGCCCACCAAGACUAUUACAGGUACGGGCUCUGAGAGGAGUAGCCCGGAGAUGGGUACUGAGACACGGACCCAGGCCCUAUGGGGCGCAGCAGGCGAGAAAACUUUGCAAUGUGCGAAAGCACGACAAGGUUAAUCCGAGUGGUUUCUGCUAAAGAAACCUUUUGUCAGUCCUAGAAACACUGAUGAAUAAGGGGUGGGCAAGUUCUGGUGU
rnacentral:rRNA from 1 species